rnacentral:rRNA from 1 species
GACGAACGCUGGCGGCGUGCUUAACACAUGCAAGUCGAACGAUGAAGCCCAGCUUGCUGGGUGGAUUAGUGGCGAACGGGUGAGUAACACGUGGGCAACCUGCCCCAAACUCUGGGAUAACUCCUCGAAAGAGGUGCUAAUACCGGAUCCGAACUGGACAGACAUCUGUACUAGUUGGAGAGUUGUUCGGGUUGGGAUGGGCGCGCGGCCUAUCAGCGUGUUGGGGAGGUAACGGCUGACCAAAGCUACGACGGGUAACCGGCCUGAGAGGGCGACCGGUCACAAUGGGACUGAGACACGGCCCAGACUCCUACGGGAGGCAGCAGUGGGGAAUAUUGCGCAAUGGGCGAAAGCCUGACGCAGCGACGCCGCGUGAGGGAUGAAGGUCUUCGGAUCGUAAACCUCUUUCAGUAGGGACGAAGCGAAAGUGACGGUACCUAAAGAAGAAGCACCGGCUAACUACGUGCCAGCCGCCGCGGUAA